rnacentral:tRNA from 1 species
GCCCGGCUAGCUCAGUUGGUAGAGCAUUCGACUCUUACAGGGGUCUACCAAACCAGUAUAUGGUAUCGAAUUGUCGUGGGUUCGAGCCCCACGUUGGGCG